rnacentral:rRNA from 1 species
GGUGGUAAUGCCGGAUGCUCCGACUCCUCGCAUGGGGUGUCGGGAAAGAUUUCAUCGGUAUGGGAUGGGGUCGCGUCCUAUCAGGUAGUCGGCGGGGUAACGGCCCACCGAGCCUACGACGGGUAGCCGGCCUGAGAGGGCGACCGGCCACAUUGGGACUGAGAUACGGCCCAGACUCCUACGGGAGGCAGCAGUGGGGAAUAUUGCACAAUGGGCGCAAGCCUGAUGCAGCGACGCCGCGUGCGGGAUGACGGCCUUCGGGUUGUAAACCGCUUUUGAUCGGGAGCAAGCCUUCGGGUGAGUGUACCUUUCGAAUAAGCACCGGCUAACUACGUGCCAGCAGCCGCGGUAAUACGUAGGGUGCAAGCGUUAUCCGGAAUUAUUGGGCGUAAAGGGCUCGUAGGCGGUUCGUCGCGUCCGGUGUGAAAGUCCAUCGCUUAACGGUGGAUCUGCGCCGGGUACGGGCGGGCUGGAGUGCGGUAGGGGAGACUGGAAUUCCCGGUGUAACGGUGGAAUGUGUAGAUAUCG